GCACUCAAGGCACACGUGGAGGUUCCCAGCCUAGGGGUCUAAUCAGAGCUGUAGCUGCCAGCCUACGCCACAGCCACAGCAACUUGGGAUCCGAGCUGUGUCUGCAACCUACACCACAGCUCACAGCAAUGCUGGAUCCUUAACCCACUGAGCAAAGCCAGGGAUCGAAUCCACAACUUCAUGUUCCUAGUCGGAUUCAUUAACCACUGAGCCACGACAGGAACUCUGGUCAUAAAUUUUAAAACUCAAAGUCAUACUAGCCACAAGCACUCCCUAUUCUAUCUCCUAUCCAAAAUUCAGUCCAGCCACAUUAUCCAAAAGAGCUCACUGGAGAUUCUUCAGUGAAAUUAAAUGACAACAUUAAGAUAUUCUAAUAAAAUGCCAAUAAUAAAAAUAUUCCAAAUCAUGAAUUUCCCAGGUUGAAAUUACAACUCCAAAAUUAAAUUCCCUAAAUAUUAAAGUCUAAAAUCAAAUUAUCUUUCUUUGUGUUAAAAGCCAAAAGAAAUUAGUCCAAAUUCUAUCCUCCUUAUUUCUUAUUCUUUUGAGUCCUUCUAGAGAAAUAUAUCCCUGUUUGGGGAGGACUGUGAGUCUUUUAGCAGCAGCAGGUAAAUUCUCUUCCACUGGCAUAGGUGUAGUUCUCUUAGGAUCUUAAAAGUCCAACUGUACGCACAUGCACCUCACUUUUGAGGAGACCAAAGAGAACACCAAAGCUUAUCAGUCUCUCAUCCACUUGUUUUAGAAACCCCUUUAAUCUUUGGCAGUUAGCAGAUAUCCCAGACAAAAUCAUAUCCCAGACCCUCUACUUACUAUUGCCAAAAGACCAUCGCAGAGAUUCAGUGAUAUCUGAGAGAGGGCAAAUAGAAUGGGAGAGAUUUUUUGACUGCAGCUUUGCCAUGAUGCUGGCAUUCUAUGUCUUUGUUGGAAGAACAUGACCUUUAUGGCCCCAUUUUCACCAUGUCAUGGGGAAGGGAUGGGAAAGUCAUUUAUGCACACCAUCUCAGCAAUUAGAGGGUAGAAUUUGAGACAUGCCUCCUUUUUAAAAAACUUAAAAACCCUGUCAAGGCAGCAGUUCCAGGCACUACAUCUUAUUUUAUUUCCAAUCUAACAUACUGAAAACAUCCUAAUUUCCAUUUGCCUUUGGAGCCCUGUGUUUCUGGCAUCCCACUGCUGAAGUGAAUGGGGGUUCUGCCCAGUGACUCAGUAUCCACCAUCCUGUGAAGGGGCAUUUUCAGUCCUAUGCCACAGCUUUUAAGUAUAGGGGUGAAACAAUCUAUUUGUUGUUGUUGUUGUUGUUGUUGCUUGGUUGCAAAUCUGCAACCUAAGGCAUUAAAAAGCAAAUGAAGUUACGUUAUAUCGGCAGGGCUAGAUCAGCCACACAGCUUCUGGUCCUACUGUAUACUAUUUUGGAAAAUUAACCGGACUAUAACCAGGGAUAGAGAGGGACAUUACAUAAUGACUAAUGUGGUCACAUCUCCAAGAAUGAAAAAUGGAGAUUCAAAAUCCAUAAAGACUUACAAAACUAAAAGAAAGGAGAAAUCCACAAUUAUUGUUGAAGAUUUGAAUAUGCCUGCCCCAAUGACUGAAAGAAAAUGUUAACAGAAAAUUAGUAAGGCUGAUAAAAAUCAUUAUCAGUCAGAUUGACCUAAUUGAUACUGAUAGACUACUUCACUCCAAAACAGCAGAACAUUCUUUUUUUAAAACAGCAAAACACACAUUUUCAAAGGUAGAAUAUCCAUCAAAACUCUGAGUCAUAAGUCUCUAAAUUUAAAAGGCUCAAAUUCAUACGAGGAUUAAAUUAGCACACAUAAAAUUAAUUAGAAAUAAACAAGAGAAAUAAAUCUAGAAAACUCCAAAUUAAAACAUUUUAAAAAUAACACACGGGUCAAAGACCUAAUGUUUUUGAACUCAAUGAAACUGAAAAUACAACAUAUCAAAAUUUUUGAGCUGUACCUAAAGCAGUGUUUAGAGGGAAAUGUGUAGCAUUAAAUGCUUUAAUACAGAAAAACUACCUCAAAUAAAAAAAUCUAAACUUACACCUUAAGAAACUAGGAAAAAAGAGGGCAAGUUAACCUAAAGCAAAAAGAAGGAAAUGAGAUAACAUUGGAAUUUAGUAAAAUAGGAAGUGGACAUACAGUUGGGAAAAGCAAUGAAAUUAAAAGCUGAUUGUAAUAAGCUGAGUAAUGAUGCCUGAGAACAGCUACUUUACAUGGUAAUAAGAUUUUUACAGGUGUGAUUACUUAAAGAUCAUUGUAAGCCUGAGAGAUUUCCUGGAUUACCUGGAUGGGCCGAAUGGAAUCACAAGCAUCUUUAUUAGAGGGCAGGUGGAUCACAGUUAGAGAUGUGAUAACAGAAGCAAGAAGUUGAAAGAUGCAGGUGGCCUUUAGAAAUUGAAAAAGGCAAGAAAAUGGAUGUUCCCCUCAGAACCUCCAGAAGCAAUGACCCUGCCAGCGCCUUAACUACAGCUCAAAGGGAGUGAUUUUGAACUCCUGACUUCCAGAAACGUAAGUUUGACCUGAACACGGGACGCUGCCGGCAGAAGCCUCAGACCAGCCUUCUUCCUGUCAGAGGACUCCGGGGGACACCUCAGCUACCGGGAGUGGAUGCAGAAGCCCGGCACCCCAGCUCCCCGCACUCCAAUCCAACAUGGCCGCGGGGGCCCGUGUGCAGAGACGCUGGGCUUCGCACUGCAAUAUGGGGCGUGAGCAGCACGCCUGCGCGGCCUCAGGAGACCUCCACCCCCCUCCCUCUCCCCCUCCCCGGGGAGGGGGUGGGGGAGAGUGCUGUCAAGCAGCCCCACCCACGGCCUGUACCUGAGAGCUUAUCCUCAGGGUGUGAAUCUCAGUUAUUAGGUUCAUAGCCAUUAAAAAGGGAUACAGGCUUGUGGUAGAGUGACCACAUGAUCAUUAUAUAAUGUCCCUCUAAUUUUCAAAAUACAACAGGAUGGGACGUUGUGCGGCCUAAUUAGCCUUGCUUAUUGAUAUCUGGCACAUCGUUUUAAAGUGAGACACAUAAAUGGUUUUAAGACAGUUGAAAUUACCUUCUUUUGCUUUUUCAAGUCUUGGAUUGUAGAUUUGCAGCCAAGCAACAACAACAACAGAAGUUGUUUCAUUCCCUAUACCUAAAAGCUGACUCAAGAAAUCAUUUUCUUUUCCCUCUAAUCAAAAACUCGCCUCAGCAUCUUGUGUUUACUGAAGCCUGUGGGUCUCUUGCAUAUUUGUAAGGCUGGCCCUUGCUGCCCUGCCUGUUUAAAAACAGCUACUUGCCUGAGUUGCCAUUAACCGCUAGGUCAAAAUCCCAUUGGACUGUGCUUACUAAAGUCUGAAGCCUUAAGCUGCUAGUCCAACCCCAAUGGUCAAAAGACCAUCACAUAACUGUGAAAACCAGCCAUGCAUCACAACAAUGCCCUAUGAACUCCCAAAGUUUAAAAAAAAAAAAAAGAAAAACAGACCCAUGUUUAUUCAACCUAAGGCCUAAAGCCACUUAAUCAAAGUCUCAUGUUUCUGGGUCCCCAAAUUCAACUGCUUGCCUGCCUCUCAAGCUGCCUGGAUUAUGCUCCAAAUACUGGGGGGAAAGUUUGGAUUCCUUCAAACUGUCAUCCUCCUGGUCCAAUGCCAAUCAUCAUAAUCGAUUACACAAAAGUAGACAGGCCUGUUUUCCCCUCAACCCAGCCCCACACAGGUCUCAGUAUUUUUUUUCUACACCAUUCCCCCCUCUGUAGUCACAAUCCCUUGUUCUGUCUCAUAAAGGAGGAGCUUACUAGUGUUACAAAAUGGUCUCAAGGGUGGGAGAUGUCCCACACGGACAGUUUGGUGGAGGCUUGGCCUCAUCAAGGAUCCCAGUGGGUGUCCCUCU